rnacentral:misc_RNA from 1 species
UGAGACUUUGGAACAUUUAUUAUUUUGGUGUGAUCAUGCCAGGGCAACUUGGUUCCUUGGUCCUUUGGCAUACAAACUUGAUACGGUGGGUUUUCAAUCUUUUGCAAGGUGGUAGGAAGCAAUACUAGGUUUGUUCUCGAACUUAACAAUUGACGACUGGAUUCUAGUUUCUAUCUUGCUCACAUGGUACGCAGUGUUUGAGCUGAGCAUCCGGAUUCAAGGAAUAUAGUUAAACAAAUCCUUUCUUUGCUAAAUGAGAACCAAUGAUUAGAAUCAAACCAUGCAGAUAUUUCUAACCUUCCUACAAGACAAGAUAAUCACAAAUGGAUGCCUCCUCAGAAAGGUGUUCUUAAAUUCAAUUGUGAUGCAGCUUGGAAGGAAGGCUAAAAUCUUGCGGCAAUUGCAGUUGUCGUAAGAAACUAUAAUGGUUGUAUUGUUGAUGGGAGGGCUAAAAAGGUAUACAACUCUUGUCCUUUGGUUGUAGAAGCCUCAGCAGUAUUGGAAGCUGUAAAAUUAGCCCGUGAUAUGGGGAUAGCAACUCUUACCAUAGAGUUUGACUCUGAAAUGCUUAUAGCAGUAAUUCAGUUCCCUGCCAAGCACCAAUGUUGGGAAAUCCAAGCUCCAGUUCAUAAUAUCACAAGUUUGUCUUCUUUCUUCCUGGAGAUUUCUUUCUCCAAGAUUAUUAGGCAACCUAACAAAGUUGUGGACCAUGUUGUUAAACUUUGAAUUUCUGACCAGCUUUGUGGUAACUGGCUUUCUAUUCUCUUAGCUUCGUUGGAUAUGCUUUGUAAUGUUGAUGCCCCUAGGACUUAUUAAUGCAUUCCCUUUGCACGUUAAAAAAAAAAAAAAAAAACAUUCGUUUGGUUAUUAUAUUUCGAUUUGUCAAUGCAUGUAAAAUUGUUAUUGUAUUUCUGACCUUGGACUUCUAUGGAUCAUGGAGUGCACUGACUCUGGCAUUCUAGCGAUGAGAGGUCUGCGGUGAUAAACUGAUAAUUGAUGGGCCAAGUUCUGCCAGAGGAGUGCAAGCAGUAGGCACAGCGCCCUGGCUACAGGUCAACUGUCAAAUUGGAAGAGAUCGAAACAAAAAACGGUGGAUAUCAUGCAAUUCGAAGUCCAUAUUGCCCGGCG